AUACUUUACCUGGCAAUGGAGCUACCGUGCUCAAGAAGGCGGUUACCCAGGGCGGGCUCAGCCAUUGCACUGUGUGUUGCUGACCCCUGCGAAUUUCCCAAAUGCGGAAUCUCGAUUGGCAUAAUUUAUGGUAGUGGGGACUGCGUUCGGCGGCCUCUCC